rnacentral:rRNA from 1 species
CCUACGGGUGGCAGCAGUCGAGAAUCAUUCACAAUGGGGGAAACCCUGAUGGUGCGACGCCGCGUGGGGGAAUGAAGGUCUUCGGAUUGUAAACCCCUGUCAUGUGGGAGCAAAUUAAAAAGAUAGUACCACAAGAGGAAGAGACGGCUAACUCUGUGCCAGCAGCCGCGGUAAUACAGAGGUCUCAAGCGUUGUUCGGAAUCACUGGGCGUAAAGCGUGCGUAGGCUGUUUCGUAAGUCGGGUGUGAAAGGCGCGGGCUCAACCCGCGGACGGCACAUGAUACUGCGAGACUAGAGUGAUGGAGGGGGAACCGGAAUUCUCGGUGUAGCAGUGAAAUGCGUAGAUAUCGGGAGGAACACUCGUGGCGAAGGCGGGUUCCUGGACAUUAACUGACGCUGAGGCACGAAGGCCAGGGGAGCGAAAGGGAUUAGAUACCCGGGUAGUC